rnacentral:rRNA from 1 species
UACGGAGGGUGCGAGCGUUGUCCGGAAUCACUGGGCGUAAAGGGUGCGUAGGCGGUCGCGCAAGUCGGAUGUGAAAUCUCAGGGCUCAACCCUGAAACUGCAUUCGAUACUGCGUGGCUAGAGUGCUGGAGAGGAGACUGGAAUUUACGGUGUAGCAGUGAAAUGCGUAGAUAUCGUAAGGAAGACCAGUGGCGAAGGCGAGUCUCUGGACAGCAACUGACGCUGAGGCACGAAGGCCAGGGGAGCAAACGGG